CAUGCACCGGUGGGGUCCCUUGGCCUGGCCUGCACCCUCUCACAAUCCAGGACCCCUUAAGGAUGUUGGAGAGCCGGUAUCAGCCAGAUCCCUGCAGGCCAGGCCAAGGGACCCCACCAGUGCACG
rnacentral:pre_miRNA from 1 species